AUCGAAACCUUGACAUCCCCCCCCGGGCAUACCUGGGGAAUUUGCUUGUUUAGUAUUUUAAGAAGGCGGGAAUUUGACCUUUUUUUCUAGUGGAAGGUGGGGAAUUUGAAGGGGGUCGGGAAUUUGAAUUUUUCUUUUAAACACGUAUGCAGAAUCCAAAAUGGCGUCAAUAAUUAAUGGAUGAGUUCAAGGUCUUCAAGUGCAAAGGAAUUAACUUUGUCCUUGGUUGGCUACAAGAAAACGGCUUUGAACGAUUGAAGAGAGUUUUUGAAGGAAAGAAAAACUUUGAAAUUCCAAAAUUGCGAAAUGCUGUAGCUUCCAAUUCGUACAUGAG